rnacentral:piRNA from 1 species
UGCAAACCCAAAGCGUCUUGAAGUUGGCCUC